AUUGCUUCUCAGCCUUUUGGCUAAGAUCAAGUGUAGUAAAUACAUUGCUAAAAAAAGAAAAUUUUUUAAAUUAUUUAUU
rnacentral:snRNA from 1 species